AUUGAACGCUGGCGGCAUGCCUUACACAUGCAAGUCGAACGGUAACAGGUCUUCGGAUGCUGACGAGUGGCGAACGGGUGAGUAAUACAUCGGAACGUGCCUAGUAGUGGGGGAUAACUACUCGAAAGAGUGGCUAAUACCGCAUGAGAUCUACGGAUGAAAGCAGGGGAUCGCAAGACCUUGUGCUACUAGAGCGGCCGAUGGCAGAUUAGGUAGUUGGUGGGAUAAAAGCUUACCAAGCCGACGAUCUGGAGCUGGUCUGAAAGGACGAUCAGCCACACUGGGACUGAGACACGGCCCAGACUCCUACGGGAGGCAGCAGUGGGGAAUUUUGGACAAUGGGCGAAAGCCUGAUCCAGCAAUGCCGCGUGCAGGAUGAAGGCCUUCGGGUUGUAAACUGCUUUUGUACGGAACGAAAAGCUCUGGGUUAAUACCCUGGGGUCACGACGGUACCGUAAGAAUAAGCACCGGCUAACUACGUGCCAGCAGCCGCCGUAAAAC
rnacentral:rRNA from 1 species